AACGAACGCUGGCGGCGUGCCUAACACAUGCAAGUCGAGCGCGAAUGGAGCAAUCCUAGUAGAGCGGCGCACGGGUGCGUAACACGUGGGUAAUCUGCCCGGAAGAUUGGGAUAACCUGCCGAAAGGCUGGCUAAUACCAGAUAAGCCUCCGGGGACUUCGGUCCCUGAAGGAAAAGGUGGCCUCUGUAUACAAGCUAUCACUUCCGGAUGAGCCCGCGGCCCAUCAGCUAGUUGGCGGGGUAACGGCCCACCAAGGCAACGACGGGUAGCUGGUCUGAGAGGACGAUCAGCCACACUGGAACUGAGACACGGUCCAGACUCCUACGGGAGGCAGCAGUGGGGAAUUUUGCACAAUGGGCGAAAGCCUGAUGCAGCAACGCCGCGUGUGUGAUGAAGGUUUUCGGAUCGUAAAGCACUUUCGACCGGGACGAACACCCCUUGGCUAAUAUCCAGGGGCCUGACGGUACCGGGAGAAGAAGCACCGGCUAACUCUGUGCCAGCCGCCGCAGUAACAC
rnacentral:rRNA from 1 species